GACGGAAGGUGCAAGCGUUGCUCGGAAUCACUGGGCGUAAAGGGUGCGUAGGCGGCUUCUUAAGUCUGGUGUGAAAGCCCAGAGCUCAACUCUGGAAGUGCACUAGAAACUGGGAAGCUUGAGUACCGGAGGGGAGAGUGGAAUUCCUGGUGUAGCGGUGAAAUGCGUAGAUAUCAGGAGGAAUACCGGUGGCGAAAGCGACUCUCUGGACGGUUACUGACGCUGAGGCACGAAAGCGUGGGGAGCAAACAGG
rnacentral:rRNA from 1 species